GUGAAAGAAGAUUGCCACGGAGACAGACAGCAGCAUGGCUUUUCUGGCUUUGCCCGCCCAGCUGCUCCAUGCCAGGAGGAGGAGGAGACACCUAGAGCCUGCAACACCACGGCUCACCUCGCUGCGGGUGGGUGGCAGUGACGGAGACUGCAGUGCACCAUAGCGAUUUUCAAAGUGUCAUACCUUGAACCACCGCCAGAUGGCUAUGAGAAUGUUACAAAUACUGCGCCACCAUAUAAUGCUUUCUCAGCCCAAGGCAUGCCAGAGGUAAAAUAAAAUACAUUUGUAACCCAAGUCUUUAAAUGGUUCUUUUGCUAUAUAAAACCUGUAUAGAGGACUAAAACCAAGGAAAUUAGGUGAAUCAUUCAUGCGGAUUCAUUGUUUGAUAUUCAG
rnacentral:lncRNA from 1 species